rnacentral:lncRNA from 1 species
AAUGUGACAUUCCUAGAAAUCUUAUUCUCUCUAUACUAUUUACAUGCUGCAUGAUCCUUGUUUUCUUACCACUCCAAUUCUCUCGCACUAUCACAAAUUGUGUUGAGGACAGUUCAACCUAAACUAAAGCAAGUGAAUCUUAAAUUUUGGUUUGUCUUUCUAGAUGUUGAUAGGCAAGAACAUAGCAACUCAUUUUCAGAGUACAUUUUCUAUCACACCCAAGGAUGUCACCAGGCGCUCAAGCAC